UACGGAGGGUGCAAGCGUUGUUCGGAUUCACUGGGCGUAAAGGGUGCGUAGGCGGCAUCGUAAGUUAAGGGUGAAAUCCCGGGGCUCAACCCCGGAACUGCUCUUAAAACUGCGGAGCUAGAGAUAGUCAGAGGCGGGUAGAAUUCCUAGUGUAGAGGUGAAAUUCGUAGAUAUUAGGAGGAAUACCGGCGGCGAAGGCGGCCCGCUGGGGCUUAUCUGACGCUAAGGCACGAAAGCGUGGGGAGCAAAC
rnacentral:rRNA from 1 species